AAAAUAUUUAUUUCAACAUUUUUCACGUAGAAAAUUAUACCAAUCAAACACAGUAAUUUACAAUUUCCAGGAAAACAAUUCCUAGGCAAUUCAAUUUCCUAGAAUUCGUUUUCUAGGCAGUUCAAUUCUAUCUUUGCAAUCAAAUGGACCUUAAUUUGAAUUCGGCCAUUUUUCAUGCUUUCCAUUUAAUGUCCCUUCCAAAUUCAGGCAUUGUUUUCUUCUAUGGCAGAAAACAUACUUUGAAUCAUCUUUUGCAUAUCUUGGUCAAGACAUCUCUUUUAAUGGCAUCGAUGCAUUACGGUUUGUUUUUAGUACAAGGUAUUUCCGAUUUUUCCUUCGGAUUUUAUAUACAAUUUACAAGAUGAUGUCAAAAAAUUUAUGUAUAUCAUGCCAUUGGCUACAGCAAAGAGAAUAUAUUCACCAUUUUUCAGAUGUUCUUGUUAAUAUUUAAUUUUAAUCAUGCUAAGAAUCAAGAAUCACUUUUUUGUUUGAAAAAAAUCCUAAAAUAAACAGCAAAUAACCGAUUUCUCUUUUUUGUUCAUGAUA
rnacentral:lncRNA from 1 species